AUGCUAGCCUUUUCAACACCAAAAGAAAACAUUGAGAUUUCGUUAUACUACUUACUGUGUUCAAUAAAGAUUAUUAUUUGUGUUGCGAUAACCUUUAUGCAGAAGAUAAUAAAAAAUAAACACAAAAAUAAUCACUCUGAUACAAUUACAUUAUGCAUUAUUAUUAUUUAUUUGCACCUUUUUUCACCACAUACAUUUCUCAGUUGAUAAUCAAUGGUGGCACUUCAAUAACCGAUGAAGUAGAAAAGUGUGCACACUGUUAAAAAUUCCUCUCAUCACCACACUAACUACUUUAUGCUAACAGCACUAGUUUGGACAUGACAGCUGCAGUGCUGCAGGUAGAAAGCCAUUUCCUGCACUAAGAGCCAUGAUGAGACGAGACCACAGAUCCAUCCAUCCAUCUCUCUCAUUUCAUCACGUAUCCUGCCAUCCGUACACUGAUCAAUUUAACAAUGCCUCUGGGACCAUCUCUCUCCCUCUCUUCCCCCUCUCUCAGUCUCUGCUCUGUGACAUGUUUUAUCUGUCUGUCUGGGUCAGCAUACAUUAGUUCAGUGUGAGUGUGAAGGCGAGUACAGCGGGGACUGUGUGUGUGUGUGUGUGUGUGUGUGUGUGUGUGUGUGUAGUAUGUUACAAGCAUUACAAGAUGACUAGGUGUGUGUGUGUGUGUGUGUGUGUGUGUGUGUGUGUGAAUGUUUCAAGCAUUACAAGAUGACUAUUUUGGUGCCUGUAUAUUUUACAGUUUUAUUAACUGAUUAACCAACCAAGCUGAACUACUAAAAACUGCUUUGUAGCUUAAAAUAUACCAAUAACCUGAUAAAUAUUAAAUUAAAUUAAAUUAAGUUAAACAUAAAUAAGGUUUAAAAGUUUGGUGUCUGUAUAUAUUUUUUUAUUAAUACCUUUCAGAAAAAAAAAUAUAUUAAAUGCAAUUGUAAUGUUACAAAAGAUUUCUAUUUUCACUUUAAAAGAGUAUCAUUAAAAAACUGAAUCACAGUUUUCACAAAAAUAUUAAGCAGCAUAAUUGUUUUCAACAUUGAUUAUAAUAAGAAAUGUUUCCUGAGCAGCAAAUCAGCAUUUUAGAAUGCUUUAUGAAAUUAAAUAUUACACUGAAGACUGAAGUAAUGGCUGCUGAAAAUUCAACUUUGCCAUCACAGGAUUAAAUUACAAUUUAAAACAAAUUAAAAUAGAAAACAGUUAUUUCGGGUUGUAAAAAUAUUUCACAAAAUUACUGUUUUUACUGUAUUUUUGAUCAAAUAAAUUAAGUUUGGUGAGCAUGAGAGUCCACUUUCCAAAAAAUAAAAAAUCUAAAAAAAAAAAAACUUUGAAUGGUAAUUUAAAUGUAACUAAAUAUAAUUACAUCAUACAUCAUAGAGGAAGUUUGCUUACAUAUAUAUAUAUAUAUAUAUAAUAAACCAAACCAUUUAUACUAACAAAAAACACACACUGCAAGUAUAGAAUACAAAAAUGAAAACAGUGAAUAUAUAUAUAUAUAUAUUUUUUUUUUGGCAUGCGUUUACGCUUUUUAAGUGACAAAGAAAGAAAAAGCUGUUGAGAGGCCUUGAAUAGCAUGAAGACAUAUAGUAUGUAAUGCCUCCUGUGUAUGAAAGCGAGUGCCUGUAUGUGGGAGAGAUGUGACAUGCUGAUUUUUUUCUCUGCUCAAGUAUGUGAGUGACAUUGCCUUUUCAUCCCCUGAGGUUGUCAGUCACUGACUACACAGUAGCUGUGUUUCCAUCACCCUGUUUUUUUGCACAUUUUGACAUAUCGCAUCCGGAACGAGUGAU
rnacentral:lncRNA from 1 species